rnacentral:rRNA from 1 species
GACGAACGCUGGCGGCGUGCUUAACACAUGCAAGUCGAACGGAAAGGCCCUGCUUUUGUGGGGUGCUCGAGUGGCGAACGGGUGAGUAACACGUGAGUAACCUGCCCUUGACUUUGGGAUAACUUUAGGAGAAUGGGGCUAAUACCGGAUAGGAGCUCCUGCUGCAUGGUGGGGGUUGGAAAGUUUCGGCGGUUGGGGAUGGACGCGCGGCUUUUCAUCUUGUUGGUGGGGUGGUGGCUUACCAAGGCUUUGACGGGUAGCCGGCCUGAGAGGGUGACCGGCCACAUUGGGACUGGGGUACGGCCCAGAGUCCUACUGGAGGCAGCAGUGGGGAAUAUUGCACAAUGGGCGGAAGCCUGAUGCAGCAACGCCGCGUGCGGGAUGACGGCCUUCGGGUUGGAAACCGCUUGCGCCUGGAACGAAGCGUGAGUGACGGUAAUGGAUAAAGAAGCACCGGCUAACUACGUG